UCCCUGUCUACUAUCCAGC
rnacentral:sRNA from 1 species